rnacentral:rRNA from 1 species
CAGUAGCCGCGGUAAUACGAAGGGUGCAAGCGUUAAUCGGAAUUACUGGGCGUAAAGCGCGCGUAGGUGGUUUGGUAAGAUGGAUGUGAAAUCCCCGGGCUCAACCUGGGAACUGCAUCCAUAACUGCCUGACUAGAGUACGGUAGAGGGUGGUGGAAUUUCCUGUGUAGCGGUGAAAUGCGUAGAUAUAGGAAGGAACACCAGUGGCGAAGGCGACCACCUGGACUGAUACUGACACUGAGGUGCGAAAGCGUGGGGAGCAAACAGGAUUAGAUACCCCAGUAGUCCCUGUCUCUUAUAA